GUCGCGCCGUGACGUCAAGGUGUUUCCCGGUGACGUCAGCAGCUCAUGCGCAGUGGCCAAGGCGGCGAUUCUGGGUGACGUCACGGGGCCGGGCGUGACGUGCCGGUGGCACGGGCCGCUGGGAGCUGGCCGGGACCUGCGCUCGCCCCCCUCCCCCUUCCCACUACGGGUCGCGGCUGGGGGCGUCCCGGCGGCGGGGACGCGGCUGCCCCCUCCCCCUCCCUCGCCACAGCGCUUCGGUCCAAGAUGGCGGCGCUGAGCAGCGGCAGCAGCGCGGAGGGGGCCUCGCUCUUCAACGGGGACAUGGAACCUGAGCCGCCGCCGCCCGCGCUCGGCGCCUGCUACGCGGCAGGCGGCGGCGAUCCAGCCAUCCCGGAGGAGGUGUGGAAUAUCAAACAGAUGAUUAAAUUAACACAAGAACAUAUAGAGGCACUGCUAGACAAAUUUGGAGGAGAGCAUAACCCACCAUCGAUAUAUUUAGAGGCCUAUGAAGAGUACACCAGCAAACUAGACGCUCUACAGCAGAGAGAACAGCAGUUACUGGAAUCCAUGGGGAAUGGAACUGAUUUCUCUGUCUCCAGUUCAGCUUCAACAGACACAGUUGCAUCAUCUUCCUCCUCUAGCCUCUCUGUAGCACCUUCAUCCCUUUCAGUUUAUCAAAACCCUGCUGAUAUGUCACGGAAUAACCCCAAGUCUCCACAGAAGCCUAUUGUUAGAGUCUUCCUGCCCAAUAAGCAAAGGACUGUGGUUCCAGCAAGAUGUGGAGUGACAGUCCGAGACAGCCUAAAGAAAGCUCUGAUGAUGAGAGGUCUUAUUCCAGAGUGCUGUGCUGUUUACAGAAUACAAGAUGGAGAGAAGAAGCCAAUUGGCUGGGACACUGACAUUUCCUGGCUCACAGGGGAGGAGUUGCAUGUGGAAGUCUUGGAGAAUGUGCCACUCACAACACACAAUUUUGUACGAAAAACAUUCUUCACGUUAGCAUUUUGCGACUUUUGUCGAAAGCUGCUUUUCCAGGGAUUCCGAUGCCAGACAUGUGGCUACAAAUUUCACCAGCGCUGUAGUACAGAAGUGCCACUGAUGUGUGUUAAUUAUGACCAACUUGAUUUGCUGUUUGUCUCCAAGUUCUUUGAACAUCACCCCAUACCACAGGAGGAGCCCUCCUUAGGAGAGACCACCCCAGCAUCUGGAUCAUACCCCUCAGCACCCCCCUCAGAUUCUGUUGGACCACCAAUUCUCCCUAGUCCUUCUCCUUCAAAAUCCAUUCCAAUCCCACAGCCCCUCCGACCAGCAGAUGAAGACCAUCGGAAUCAAUUUGGGCAACGUGACCGAUCCUCUUCAGCUCCCAAUGUUCACAUCAAUACAAUCGAGCCAGUCAAUAUUGAUGACUUGAUAAGAGACCAGGGUUUACGAGGAGAGGGAGCCCCUUUGAACCAGCUGAUGCGCUGUCUUCGGAAAUACCAAUCCCGGACUCCCAGUCCCCUCCUUCAUUCUGUCCCCAGUGAAAUAGUGUUUGAUUUUGAGCCUGGCCCAGUGUUCAGAGGUUCAGCUGCAGGUUUGUCUGCAACACCUCCUGCCUCUUUGCCUGGGUCACUCACCAAUGUGAAAGCGUUACAGAAAUCACCAGGACCCCAGCGGGAAAGGAAAUCAUCCUCAUCCUCAGAAGACAGAAAUAGAAUGAAAACUCUUGGUCGACGGGAUUCAAGUGAUGAUUGGGAGAUACCAGAUGGACAGAUCACAGUUGGGCAAAGGAUAGGAUCUGGAUCAUUUGGAACAGUCUACAAAGGAAAAUGGCAUGGUGAUGUGGCAGUGAAAAUGUUGAAUGUUACAGCACCCACACCUCAACAGUUACAGGCUUUCAAAAAUGAAGUAGGAGUGCUCAGGAAAACACGACAUGUGAAUAUCCUGCUUUUCAUGGGUUAUUCAACAAAACCCCAGUUGGCUAUAGUUACACAAUGGUGUGAGGGGUCCAGCUUAUAUCACCAUCUGCACAUCAUUGAGACCAAAUUUGAAAUGAUCAAACUAAUUGAUAUUGCACGACAGACUGCACAAGGCAUGGAUUAUUUGCAUGCCAAGUCAAUCAUCCACAGAGACCUCAAGAGUAAUAAUAUAUUUCUUCAUGAAGACCUCACAGUAAAAAUAGGUGACUUUGGUCUAGCUACAGUGAAAUCACGAUGGAGUGGAUCCCAUCAGUUUGAACAGUUGUCUGGAUCUAUUCUAUGGAUGGCACCAGAAGUUAUUAGGAUGCAAGAUAAAAACCCAUACAGCUUUCAGUCGGACGUGUAUGCAUUUGGGAUUGUUCUUUAUGAAUUGAUGACUGGACAGUUACCAUACUCAAACAUCAACAACAGGGACCAGAUAAUUUUUAUGGUGGGACGAGGAUACCUGUCUCCAGACCUCAGCAAAGUAAGGAGCAACUGUCCAAAAGCUAUGAAAAGACUAAUGGCAGAAUGCUUAAAAAAGAAAAGAGAUGAGAGACCCCUUUUUCCACAGAUUCUUGCCUCCAUUGAGCUUCUGGCCCGGUCGUUGCCAAAAAUUCACCGCAGUGCAUCUGAGCCCUCAUUAAACCGGGCUGGCUUCCAGACAGAGGAUUUUAGUCUAUAUGCUUGUGCUUCUCCAAAAACACCCAUCCAAGCAGGGGGAUACGGUGGGUUUCCAGUGCACUGAAAAGAAGUGUGAAAGCAUGUGCCUGUGUGUCUGUGUGCUGGUGUGUUCCUGUGAGUGCAACACGUGUAAGCUCUCGGUUCCUACCAGCUAUGUUUUUAAGGUUUACUGAGGGAAUGAAGACUUUCUUCCUGAAAGUGGGCAUUGAAUGUCCUGAGCACAGAGUCCAUGUUGGUAACAACUGCCCUGGGAGCAGCUGGCACAAGAAGAAUUAUAAAAGAAAUGGGAAAAGGCACUUCAGAACAAGCAAAAAUCCUCUUAAGGAGAAUUUGCAGCGUUCAAGUAGGCACAGCACCAUGGCAGCACCCACUCUGUUACUUAAGUCUUGUGUUCCGACAGUUUCUUAACAUCCAAACUCUAUUCUGCUCCGCAAAACCUAAAGUAAUUUAGAAAAGAUAUCCAUAAGCUUAAAAGUGGAGCAGAAUGGAACUGCCAGUCCAACACAAUGGGAAAAAGUACCUUUUUGGGAACCAGAAUCCUCUGCUGCCAGUGUUUCUCCUUCAACACAAACCACCAUGUGCAUUCGGAGACCCGCAGUGCUGCCUGUGCCGUUGGCAUCAUUCCCGGGAGAGAGGAGAGGGCGCUCAUGGUUUGACUGUGGUGCUCGGGCAUGAGGGGAUGGAACUGCUGCUGCAACUUAGGAGACUUGCUUUGGAUGGUCUGCCGUUCAGCUUUCUCCCUCUAACAACGUACCAUCAGAGGCCGAAAAUCUGAUGAGUGCUAAUUUACAAGAAUCAUCCUCUGUUCUGAUCUUUUUUUUCCCGAUGUACUCACUGGUUUAUGGACAACGCAGUAUCCCCUUUUCACUGUAUUACAACAUCAAACACCUAAAUCCGUCUAUAUUAUUGGGGUUUACUCCGAUAAAGUUAAAAGCGGGGGGCGAUGGGAGCUGGAGAAGAUGUGACUCUAAGGCAGUGAGGUUAAUCUGAAGGAAAAGGGGAUGCUGCUGCACCUUUUUUCAGAUAUACUUUAUCACUUCUUCAAAAAACAUACAACCACCACCAACCUUAACCUGUUUCCUUUUCCAGUGUUUUCUUGGUGUAUGCAUAUACAACAUCUUUGAGAAGGAUUAGGUAGAUCCUUCUUUUUGAUCCAGCAACAAACUGAAGUUUAAAAAGCAAAACAAAAAAUGUAGCGAGAUUGUCCUCUCUUACUCUUUUUCUUUUGUAUCAUAUGAUACAAUGUAUUUAUCAAAGAUGCUACCACAGCAUCUGAAGUCUGUAGAAUUCCCGAUACAGACUGUGAAUGGUGUAUGUACCUACUUUAAAAGUUUUAUUUUAAAAGAGGGUGCAGGUUAAUGCCAGGUACCUUACCAAGAUGUAAUGUUUUCAUAAACGGGGAAAAAAGUUCUCAGGUUGAAUUGAAUACAAAUCCAAACCCCCCUAGAAUUAGACAUUCCGAAAAAUUAUGUUUUGGUACUUUCAAGAGCUUUUUUUAAAGGAUUUUUAUCCUGUUAACUAAACGUCCUCUGAUAAGUGUGUGUGUAAAUGUGGAGCAUCUUGUCCUAAUGGCAAGUUGUUAGAUCAAAACAAAACGGUACUUGCUGGAUCCAGGCUGACUACUUCUCCUCUCACAGCUUUCUGCGCUGUCAUCUCUUCCCUUCCAUUUGUCUUUCCCUUAUGUAUGCUUUGCAAACUAGGAUGAAGGUGGCGGUAUUUCCACUAGAGUGCUUUGUUUUCCUGUCCUCCAGUCCUGGUUUUCAGAUGGUUGAUAGCUUUUUCACAAGUUACCCAGUCAGGGAAGAAGAAAAAACCCAACUCAUCAAGUUCUGCACAUUGUUUACCUCUCAUAGAGUAUGUUGUGAUGUGAUCUGUUUGCAGAGUUCUCUGGUAUGUGAUAUUACAUGUAAAUUAUCUGUACAGAGGCAAGUCAGACCACAUGAGAAAGAAAUCCAAGUUCAGACAGAAGUUUUCAGAGUUUGAUUUGCAUCUGCCCUGUAACACUCCAAGUGAGGCAGGAGAACUGAACACCCCCCCCCCUCUAGCAGGGAGGUACUUGCUGGGAAGGAGAGGGGUGUUAAUCAUGACAAAUAAAUGAAGGAGUUAAAUGUG